ACGUAGGGAGCAAGCGUUGUCCGGAAUUACUGGGUGUAAAGGGUGCGUAGGCGGGUAUGCAAGUCAUAUGUGAAAUACCGGGGCUCAACUCCGGGGCUGCAUAAGAAACUGUAUAUCUUGAGUACAGGAGAGGUAAGCGGAAUUCCUAGUGUAGCGGUGAAAUGCGUAGAUAUUAGGAGGAACACCAGUGGCGAAGGCGGCUUACUGGACUGAAACUGACGCUGAGGCACGAAAGCGUGGGGAGCAAACAG
rnacentral:rRNA from 1 species